rnacentral:rRNA from 1 species
AUGAACGCUGGCGGCAGGCCUAACACAUGCAAGUCGAGCGGAUGAGAGGAGCUUGCUCCUCGAUUCAGCGGCGGACGGGUGAGUAAUGCCUAGGAAUCUGCCUAGUAGUGGGGGACAACGUUUCGAAAGGAACGCUAAUACCGCAUACGUCCUACGGGAGAAAGUGGGGGAUCUUCGGACCUCACGCUAUUAGAUGAGCCUAGGUCGGAUUAGCUAGUUGGUAGGGUAAAGGCCUACCAAGGCGACGAUCCGUAACUGGUCUGAGAGGAUGAUCAGUCACACUGGAACUGAGACACGGUCCAGACUCCUACGGGAGGCAGCAGUGGGGAAUAUUGGACAAUGGGCGAAAGCCUGAUCCAGCCAUGCCGCGUGUGUGAAGAAGGCCUUCGGGUCGUAAAGCACUUUAAGUUGGGAGGAAGGGCUCAUAGCGAAUACCUGUGAGUUUUGACGUUACCAACAGAAUAAGCACCGGCUAACUUCGUGCCAGCAGCCGCGGUAAUACGAAGGGUGCAAGCGUUAAUCGGAAUUACUGGGCGUAAAGCGCGCGUAGGUGGCUUGAUAAGUUGGAUGUGAAAUCCCCGGGCUCAACCUGGGAACUGCAUCCAAAACUGUCUGGCUAGAGUGCGGUAGAGGGUAGUGGAAUUUCCAGUGUAGCGGUGAAAUGCGUAGAUAUUGGAAGGAACACCAGUGGCGAAGGCGACUACCUGGACUGACACUGACACUGAGGUGCGAAAGCGUGGGGAGCAAACAGGAUUAGAUACCCUGGUAGUCCACGCCGUAAACGAUGUCAACUAGCCGUUGGGAUCCUUGAGAUCUUAGUGGCGCAGCUAACGCAUUAAGUUGACCGCCUGGGGAGUACGGCCGCAAGGUUAAACUCAAAUGAAUUGACGGGGGCCCGCACAAGCGGUGGAGCAUGUGGUUAAUUCGAAGCAACGCGAAGAACCUUACCUGGCCUUGACAUGCUGAGAACUUUCCAGAGAUGGAUUGGUGCCUUCGGGAACUCAGACACAGGUGCUGCAUGGCUGUCGUCAGCUCG